UACAGAGGGGGCAAGCGUUGUUCGGAAUUACUGGGCGUAAAGGGCGCGUAGGCGGCCUGCUAAGUCGAACGUGAAAUCCCUGGGCUCAACCCAGGAACUGCGUCCGAUACUGGUUGGCUUGAAUCCGGGAGAGGGAUGUGGAAUUCCAGGUGUAGCGGUGAAAUGCGUAGAGAUCGGGAGGAACACCAGCGGCGAAGGCGGCAAACUGGAUAGGAACUGACACUCAACAACGAAAGCGUGGGGAGCAAACAGG
rnacentral:rRNA from 1 species